AUCUUUUUGUGGUUCAUAAGCGUGAUGAUUGAGUGUUCAUGCUCUUGUGUGAGAUGUGCCUCCCUUGAGCCUUGUUAUGACGUUGACACAUUAUCCAUCUGAUG
rnacentral:snoRNA from 1 species